rnacentral:rRNA from 1 species
UACGUAGGGUGCGAGCGUUAAUCGGAAUUACUGGGCGUAAAGCGUGCGCAGGCGGCUUUGCAAGACAGAUGUGAAAUCCCCGGGCUCAACCUGGGAACUGCAUUUGUGUCUGCAAGGCUAGAGUACGGCAGAGGGGGAUGGAAUUCCGCGUGUAGCAGUGAAAUGCGUAGAUAUGCGGAGGAACACCAAUGGCGAAGGCAAUCCCCUGGGCCUGUACUGACGCUCAUGCACGAAAGCGUGGGGAGCAAACAGG